rnacentral:lncRNA from 1 species
CUGUUGUUGAAAAAUAAAGAAAUUUUUUAUUUAUUUACAUGUAAUAUUAUUUUAAUAAAUAAUACAUGAUUGAAAAGAAGCCAAAAAAAUAUAGGGGAAAAAAUCAAGAAAAAUCAUAGUCUCAGACAUCCAAGGAAGGAUAGAAGCAGCAUAAGCUCUCAAGCCUGGCGAAGGCGAAAGCUCUUAGGCGGCCACUGCGAAUGUUUUGAGAAACAAGCCUUUGGAUUUAUCAUCACUGACCAAAUCGGUUCAAAAUCAAAUCAAUAAUAAAAUUACUUAAAAUCCCUUCAGAAAGAUGGAUUAAAUAAAAGAUUGGAUGCCAGUUGAAAAACUAAAGGCAAUCGAUACAGAUCCAUACAAAAAACUGAGUGAGUGGAAAAAAGGUGUCUCAGAUAUCCAAGGAAGGAUAAAAGCAGCACAAACUCUCAAGCCUGGCGAAGGCGAAAGUUCUCAGGCGGCCACUGCGAAUGUUUUGAGAAACAAGCCUUCAAUUUAUCAUCACCGACACCGAUUCCGAUUCCGAUUACGAUUCCAAUUCCAAUUCCAAUUCGAGUUCAAUAACAUUCCCCGUAAGAACUCUAUAUCAAAAUGCAUAUACGUAGAAAGAAAUACUUUGAGACAAGAAAAAAAUAAAAGAAAGUGCCUUCUUAUUGGUUUAUUAUUCUGAUAAGGGAUUUAUAUAGGAGUCAUGAAGGUUAGGGUAUAGAGGAAUUUUAGGGUUUAU